rnacentral:rRNA from 1 species
UUAAGCGACUAAGCGUACACGGUGGAUGCCUAGGCAAUCAGAGGCGAUGAAGGACGUGCUAAUCUGCGAUAAGCGUCGGUAAGGUGAUAUGAACCGUUACAACCGACGAUUUCCGAAUGGGGAAACCCAGUGCAAUUCGUUGCACUAUCGUUUGAUGAAUACAUAGUCAAACGAAGCGAACCGGGGGAACUGAAACAUCUCAGUACCCCGAGGAAAAGAAAUCAACCGAGAUUCCCCUAGUAGCGGCGAGCGAACGGGGAGCAGCCCAGAGUCUUAAUCAGCAUUAGCAUCAGGAGAACGGUCUGGAAAGUCCGGCAGUAAAGGGUGAUAGCCCCGUAUCCGAAGGUGUUAGUGUUGUGAACUCGACGAGUAGGGCGGGACACGUGUUAUCCUGUCUGAAUAUGGGGGGACCAUCCUCCAAGGCUAAAUACUCCUGAUUGACCGAUAGUGAACCAGUACCGUGAGGGAAAGGCGAAAAGAACCCCGGCGAGGGGAGUGAAAUAGAACCUGAAACCGUGUACGUACAAGCAGUGGGAGCCUUGAUUUAUCAGGGUGACUGCGUACCUUUUGUAUAAUGGGUCAGCGACUUAUAUUCUGUAGCAAGGUUAACCGUAUAGGGGAGCCGUAGGGAAACCGAGUCUUAACUGGGCGAAUAAGUUGCAGGGUAUAGACCCGAAACCCGGUGAUCUAGCCAUGGGCAGGUUGAAGGUUGGGUAACACUAACUGGAGGACCGAACCGACUAAUGUUGAAAAAUUAGCGGAUGACUUGUGGCUGGGGGUGAAAGGCCAAUCAAACCGGGAGAUAGCUGGUUCUCCCCGAAAGCUAUUUAGGUAGCGCCUCGUGAACUCAUCUUCGGGGGUAGAGCACUGUUUCGACUAGGGGGUCAUCCCGACUUACCAACUCGAUGCAAACUACGAAUACCGAAGAAUGUUAUCACGGGAGACACACGGCGGGUGCUAACGUUCGUCGUGAAGAGGGAAACAACCCAGACCGCCAGCUAAGGUCCCAAAGUCAUAGUUAAGUGGGAAACGAAGUGGGAAGGCUCAGACAGCCAGGAUGUUGGCUUAGAAGCAGCCAUCAUUUAAAGAAAGCGUAAUAGCUCACUGGUCGAGUCGGCCUGCGCGGAAGAUGUAACGGGGCUAAACUAUGCACCGAAGCUGCGGCAGCGAUAUGUAAAUAUUGUUGGGUAGGGGAGCGUUCUGUAAGCCUGUGAAGGUGUGCUGUGAGGCAUGCUGGAGGUAUCAGAAGUGCGAAUGCUGACAUAAGUAACGAUAAUGCGGGUGAAAAACCCGCACGCCGGAAGACCAAGGGUUCCUGUCCAACGUUAAUCGGGGCAGGGUGAGUCGACCCCUAAGGCGAGGCAGAAAUGCGUAGUCGAUGGGAAACGGGUUAAUAUUCCCGUACUGGUGAUAAUUGCGAUGGGGGGACGGAGAAGGCUAGGCUAUCCGGGCGACGGUUGUCCCGGUUUAAGGAUGUAGGCAGGUGAAUUAGGCAAAUCCGGUUCACUACAUGCUGAGGUCCGAUGACGAGUCACUACGGUGAUGAAGUAGCUCAUGCCCCGCUUCCAGGAAAAGCCUCUAAGCUCUAGAUUAUCAUUAAUCGUACCCCAAACCGACACAGGUGGUCAGGUAGAGAAUACUCAGGCGCUUGAGAGAACUCGGGUGAAGGAACUAGGCAAAAUGGUGCCGUAACUUCGGGAGAAGGCACGCUGGCAUUAGGUGAAGUGAUUUACUCAUGGAGCUGAAGCCAGUCGCAGAUACCAGCUGGCUGCAACUGUUUAUUAAAAACACAGCACUGUGCAAACACGAAAGUGGACGUAUACGGUGUGACGCCUGCCCGGUGCUGGAAGGUUAAUUGAUGGGGUUAUCCGUAAGGAGAAGCUCUUGAUCGAAGCCCCAGUAAACGGCGGCCGUAACUAUAACGGUCCUAAGGUAGCGAAAUUCCUUGUCGGGUAAGUUCCGACCUGCACGAAUGGCGUAAUGAUGGCCAGGCUGUCUCCACCCGAGACUCAGUGAAAUUGAACUCGCUGUGAAGAUGCAGUGUACCCGCGGCAAGACGGAAAGACCCCGUGAACCUUUACUAUAGCUUGACACUGAACAUUGAGCCUUGAUGUGUAGGAUAGGUGGGAGGCUUCGAAGCGUGGACGCCAGUCUGCGUGGAGCCAACCUUGAAAUACCACCCUUUAAUGUUUGAUGUUCUAACGUUGCCCCAUUAUCUGGGGUGCGGACAGUGUCUGGUGGGUAGUUUGACUGGGGCGGUCUCCUCCCAAAGAGUAACGGAGGAGCACGAAGGUUGGCUAAGCAUGGUCGGACAUCAUGCGGUUAGUGCAAAGGCAUAAGCCAGCUUGACUGCGAGAGUGACGGCUCGAGCAGGUACGAAAGUAGGUCUUAGUGAUCCGGUGGUUCUGAAUGGAAGGGCCAUCGCUCAACGGAUAAAAGGUACUCCGGGGAUAACAGGCUGAUACCGCCCAAGAGUUCAUAUCGACGGCGGUGUUUGGCACCUCGAUGUCGGCUCAUCACAUCCUGGGGCUGAAGUAGGUCCCAAGGGUACGGCUGUUCGCCGUUUAAAGUGGUACGCGAGCUGGGUUUAGAACGUCGUGAGACAGUUCGGUCCCUAUCUGCCGUGGGCGUUGGAAGAUUGAAAGGGGCUGCUCCUAGUACGAGAGGACCGGAGUGGACGCACCACUGGUGUUCGGGUUGUCAUGCCAAUGGCAUUGCCCGGUAGCUAAGUGCGGAAGAGAUAACCGCUGAAAGCAUCUAAGCGGGAAACUUGCCUUGAGAUGAGUCUUCCCUGACCCUUUAAGGGUCCUAAAGGAACGUUUAAGACUAAGACGUUGAUAGGUUGGGUGUGUAAGCGUAGCGAUACGUUGAGCUAACCAAUACUAAUGAACCGUGAGGCUUAACC